UACGAAGGGGGCUAGCGUUGCUCGGAAUUACUGGGCGUAAAGCGCACGUAGGCGGAUUGUUAAGUCGGGGGUGAAAUCCUGGAGCUCAACUCCAGAACUGCCUUCGAUACUGGCGAUCUCGAGUUCGGGAGAGGUGAGUGGAACUGCGAGUGUAGAGGUGAAAUUCGUAGAUAUUCGCAAGAACACCAGUGGCGAAGGCGGCUCACUGGCCCGAUACUGACGCUGACGGUGCGAAAGCGAGGGAGCAACUGGG
rnacentral:rRNA from 1 species